rnacentral:rRNA from 1 species
AGAGUUUGAUCCUGGCUCAGAUUGAACGCUGGCGGCAGGCCUAACACAUGCAAGUCGAACGGUAGCACAGAGAGCUUGCUCUCGGGUGACGAGUGGCGGACGGGUGAGUAAUGUCUGGGAAACUGCCUGAUGGAGGGGGAUAACUACUGGAAACGGUAGCUAAUACCGCAUAACGUCGCAAGACCAAAGAGGGGGACCUUCGGGCCUCUUGCCAUCAGAUGUGCCCAGAUGGGAUUAGCUAGUAGGUGGGGUAACGGCUCACCUAGGCGACGAUCCCUAGCUGGUCUGAGAGGAUGACCAGCCACACUGGAACUGAGACACGGUCCAGACUCCUACGGGAGGCAGCAGUGGGGAAUAUUGCACAAUGGGCGCAAGCCUGAUGCAGCCAUGCCGCGUGUAUGAAGAAGGCCUUCGGGUUGUAAAGUACUUUCAGCGGGGAGGAAGGUGUUGUGGUUAAUAACCACAGCAAUUGACGUUACCCGCAGAAGAAGCACCGGCUAACUCCGUGCCAGCAGCCGCGGUAAUACGGAGGGUGCAAGCGUUAAUCGGAAUUACUGGGCGUAAAGCGCACGCAGGCGGUCUGUCAAGUCGGAUGUGAAAUCCCCGGGCUCAACCUGGGAACUGCAUUCGAAACUGGCAGGCUAGAGUCUUGUAGAGGGGGGUAGAAUUCCAGGUGUAGCGGUGAAAUGCGUAGAGAUCUGGAGGAAUACCGGUGGCGAAGGCGGCCCCCUGGACAAAGACUGACGCUCAGGUGCGAAAGCGUGGGGAGCAAACAGGAUUAGAUACCCUGGUAGUCCACGCCGUAAACGAUGUCGAUUUGGAGGUUGUGCCCUUGAGGCGUGGCUUCCGGAGCUAACGCGUUAAAUCGACCGCCUGGGGAGUACGGCCGCAAGGUUAAAACUCAAAUGAAUUGACGGGGGCCCGCACAAGCGGUGGAGCAUGUGGUUUAAUUCGAUGCAACGCGAAGAACCUUACCUGGUCUUGACAUCCACAGAACUUUCCAGAGAUGGAUUGGUGCCUUCGGGAACUGUGAGACAGGUGCUGCAUGGCUGUCGUCAGCUCGUGUUGUGAAAUGUUGGGUUAAGUCCCGCAACGAGCGCAACCCUUAUCCUUUGUUGCCAGCGGUUAGGCCGGGAACUCAAAGGAGACUGCCAGUGAUAAACUGGAGGAAGGUGGGGAUGACGUCAAGUCAUCAUGGCCCUUACGACCAGGGCUACACACGUGCUACAAUGGCGCAUACAAAGAGAAGCGACCUCGCGAGAGCAAGCGGACCUCAUAAAGUGCGUCGUAGUCCGGAUUGGAGUCUGCAACUCGACUCCAUGAAGUCGGAAUCGCUAGUAAUCGUAGAUCAGAAUGCUACGGUGAAUACGUUCCCGGGCCUUGUACACACCGCCCGUCACACCAUGGGAGUGGGUUGCAAAAGAAGUAGGUAGCUCAACCUUCGGGAGGGCGCUUACCACUUUGUGAUUCAUGACUGGGGUGAAGUCGUAACAAGGUAGCC